UUUAUUUUUUAAUUUUUUUUUAAAGAUCGAGUAACAUAUAUUUGAAACUGUGGCUGAAGAGUUAGCCCAAACACAUAGGACAAAUCAGUACUUUUGUUGUAAUAGCUUAGCAAUUGCAGAACAUUUUCAAUUAUGGCAGCUUAAAAUUUUAUAGUUUUUUUUUUCCUUUCUAGAAAUAAUAUGAAUGCAAUAGUUUAUGGAUUAUAUAGUAUCCCUAAUCUUGCAACAUUUCAUAUUAGUUCAAAUAUAUUAGCAUAUGAAAAUAUAAUACAUCGUUGUU